AAGGAAUAUUGGACAAUGGGGGCAACCCUGAUCCAGCCAUGCCGCGUGAGUGAAGAAGGCCUUAGGGUUGUAAAGCUCUUUCAGGUGCGAAGAUAAUGACUGUAACACCAGAAGAAGCCCCGGCUAAAUUCGUGCCAGCAGCCGCGGUAAUACGAAUGGGGCGAGCGUUGUUCGGAAUCACUGGGCGUAAAGCGUAUGCAGGCGGACAUGCAAGUCAGAAGUGAAAUCCCAGGGCUUAACCCUGGAAUGGCUUUUGAAACUGCAUGUCUUGAGUCUCGGAGGGGCCAGCGGAAUUCCCAGUGUAGAGGUGAAAUUCGCAGAUAUUGGGAGGAACACCAGUGGCGUAGGCGGCUGGCUGGACGAGUACUGACGCUCAGAUACGAAAGCGUGGGGAUCAAAC
rnacentral:rRNA from 1 species